GACGAACGCUGGCGGCGUGCUUAACACAUGCAAGUCGAACGGAAAGGCCCUGCUUUUGUGGGGUGCUCGAGUGGCGAAAGGGUGAGUAACACGUGAGUAACCUGCCCUUGACUUUGGGAUAACUUCAGGAAACUGGGGCUAAUACCGGAUAGGAGCUCCUGCUGCAUGGUGGGGGUUGGAAAGUUUCGGCGGUUGGGGAUGGACUCGCGGCUUAUCAGCUUGUUGGUGGGGUAGUGGCUUACCAAGGCUUUGGCGGGUAGCCGGCCUGAGAGGGUGACCGGCCACAUUGGGACUGCGAUACGGCCCAGAAUCCUACGGGAGGCAGCAGUGGGGAAUAUUGCGCAAUGGGCGGAAGCCUGAUGCAGCAACGCCGCGUGCGGGAUGACGGCCUUCGGGUUGUAAACCGCUUUCGCCUGUGACGAAGCGUGAGUGACGGUAAUGGGUAAAGAAGCACCGGCUAACUACGUG
rnacentral:rRNA from 1 species